CUUGAACGCUGGCGGCAUGGCUAAAACAUGCAAGUCGAACGCGAACCCACCUUCGGGUGGUAGUAGAGUGGCGAACGGGCGAGUAAUGCAUUCCUAACGUACCCCAGGGUCAGGGAUAGCUCACCGAAAGGUGUGGUAAUACCUGAUGACCCCGACGAGACUUAUGUCUUGUCGGGCAAAGGCUUGUCCGCCCUGGGAUCGGGGAAUGUCCUAUCAGGUUGUUGGUAAGGUAACGGCUUACCAAGCCUAAGACGGGUAGCGGGCGUGAGAGCGUGGCCCGCCGCAUCGGGACUGAGACACUGCCCGGACUCCUACGGGAGGCUGCAGUAACGGAUCUUCCGCAAUGCGCGAAAGCGUGACGGAGCAAUGCCGCGUGCAGGAUGAAGCCCUUCGGGGUGUAAACUGCUGUCAGAGUUUAGGAACACAAUGACCAAACUCAGAGGAAGGGCCGGCUAACUUCGUGCCAGCAGCCGCGGUAAUACGAAGGGCCCGAGCGUUAAGCGGAGUUACUGGGCUUAAAGGGUGCGUAGGCGGACACGUAAGCGUCUUGUGAAAGCCCACGGCUCAACCGUGGAACUGCAGGGCGAACUGCGUGUCUUGAGGCCAGUAGGGGUUGCCGGAACUCUAGGUGUAGCGGUGAAAUGCGUAGAUAUCUAGAGGAACGCCGAUGGUGAAGACGGGCAACUGGGCUGGUACUGACGCUGAGGCACGAAAGCGUGGGGAGCAACAGGAUUAGAUACCCUGGUAGUCCACGCCGUAAACGAUGUGCACUAGGUCUCGGAGGAUCUGACUCCAUCGGGGCCGAAGUUAAAAUGAUAAGUGCACCGCCUGGGGAGUACGGUCGCAAGGCUAAAACUCAAAGGAAUUGACGGGGGCUCACACAAGCGGUGGAGCAUGUGGCUUAAUUCGAAGCAACGCGAAGAACCUUACCAGGGUUUGACAUGCAUGGAUUAGCUCUUGGAAACAUGAGUGACGCGGCUUGCCGUGGAACAUGCACAGGUGCUGCAUGGCUGUCGUCAGCUCGUGCUGUGAAGUGUCGGGUUAAGUCCCUUAACGAGCGAAACCCCUACCGUUAGUUGCUAACAGGUAAUGCUGAGGACUCUAACGGGACUGCCGGUGUCAAACCGGAGGAAGGUGGGGAUGACGUCAAGUCCUCAUGGCCUUUAUGCCCUGGGCUGCACACGUGCUACAAUGGCAACUACAAAGCGACGCGAUACCGUAAGGUGGAGCAAAUCGCAAAAAGGUUGCCCCAGUUCGGAUUGUGGUCUGCAACUCGACCACAUGAAGUUGGAAUCGCUAGUAAUCGCGUAUCAGCAACGACGCGGUGAAUACGUUCCUGAGCCUUGUACACACCGCCCGUCAAGUCAUGGAAGCCGGGAAUACCCGAAGUCGUGCCGUUUCAGGCAUGCCGACGGUAGGCUCGGUGACUGGGACUAAG
rnacentral:rRNA from 1 species